GGGAUUGUAGUUGAAUUGGUCAGAGCACCGCCCUGUCAAGGCGGAAGCUGCGGGUUCGAGCCCCGUUAGUCCCG
rnacentral:tRNA from 1 species